GGAGAUGUGGUAUAAGUGGUAGAAUACCUGAUUUACAAGCAUGAGGCCUGGAUUCAAUCCCUAGAAUUUCCU
rnacentral:tRNA from 1 species